UUUUCAUUGAGAAUUGAGUGAAGGGCUUCCACUGACACUUUUUCAUCUGCAUAGAUGCAUUUCUUGUCUCAUUCAUUUUCUCAGUGAUUGCUGCAGUACUUAGGGUGUAAGGGAUCAAUCGUGCGUAAGACCAGCAAAACCAGCAAGCUGAGCAACUGGAUUUUGUUGUAUGAAAAUUUUCAUGCUAAAUUCAUCAAUGCAGAUGGAAUGAGCUGUUUUCUCACUUCCUUGUCUGCUUACAUUAUCUCAUCUCUAACCUCCAUGUGUGCUGUGAGAUUUGUGUAAUAUUUAAGCAUUCUCAGUGGCAAGCUUAAACUGGUGUUUCUAAUACUCAGUGUUUUCUUCAGUCUUCCUCAUUUCCCCCAUUCUACAAUUCAGGAGAUGGUCACAAGGUGUAUUUUUUAUAUAUUUGAGGUGGUUUUGCACAGAAGGGCUGAAUGCAGUGUGUGUUCAGCUGUGGAAACUGAAAAUGAGUUGUAGCAUAGCAGAGUCCAGUGGCUGCAGCUAAAUAGUAAGUGCUUAAAAUACAAUUAAUAAGCAAUCAAACAUGAAGCUGUUUUCUUGACAGGAUGCUGAGUAGUGCUGAGAAAAACUUCGUGAUCCCACAGAAACUGUGGAAAAUAAACAUCCUGGGAGUCGCAUUAAAUAUGUCCUGCUGGUUAAACAGCAACACUCUCUGAUGUCUCUUGAUCCGAGGUCUUGAGGAGCUCUGGUAUUGGACAAAUACUACCCCUAUUUUGCAGAAAGAGAAAGCUGAAGCUCAGAAAUUUGCCUGGGGUCAUGGGCUGGAGGAAUUUGUGGUCUGUGCAUUCAUCUCAAUGAGAGCAGCAGGAUGGAGAGAAUGAGGAAGAAUAGGAAAGC